GUAAUCGCAGGUCAGCAUACUGCGGUGAAUACGUUCCCGGGUCUUGUACACACCGCCCGUCACACCAUGGGAGUCAGUAACACCCGAAGCCGGUGACCUAACCGAAAGGAGGAGCCGUCGAAGGUGGGACCGAUAACUGGGGUGAAGUCGUAACAAGGUAGCCGUAUCGGAAGGUGCGGCUGGAUCACCUCCUUUCUAAGGAA
rnacentral:rRNA from 1 species